GGACUGAGACACGGCCCAGACUCCUACGGGAGGCAGCAGUGGGGAAUAUUGGACAAUGGGGGCAAACCUGAUCCAGCCAUGCCGCGUGAGUGAAGAAGCCUUUAGGGUUGUAAAGCUCUUUCGCCGGAGAAGUUAAUGACGGUAUUCGGAGAAGAAGCCCCGGCUAACUU
rnacentral:rRNA from 1 species